GAGGAUAUAGCUCAGUGGUUAGAGUGCGUGCUUAGCAUGCACGAGGUCCUGGGUUCGAGCCCCAGUACCUCU
rnacentral:tRNA from 1 species